rnacentral:rRNA from 1 species
AAAACUUUCAACAACGGAUCUCUUGGUUCCGGCAUCGAUGAAGAACGCAGCGAAAUGCGAUAACUAAUGUGAAUUGCAGAAUUCAGUGAAUCAUCGAGUCUUUGAACGCACAUUGCGCCCUCUGGUAUUCCGGAGGGCAUGCCUGUCCGAGCGUCAUUGCUGCCC